rnacentral:rRNA from 1 species
GACGAACGCUGGCGGCGUGCUUAACACAUGCAAGUCGAACGAGAACGGGUUAUAGCUUGCUAUAAUUGUCAGCUAAGUGGCGCACGGGUGAGUAAUGUAUAGGUAAUAUGCCUCUUACUAAGGGAUAACAAAUGGAAACGUUUGCUAAUACCUUAUACUCCUUAUUAACAUAAGUUAAUAAGGGAAAGAUUUAUUGGUAAGAGAUUAGCCUGUAUUGUAUCAGUUAGUUGGUGGGGUAAUGGCUUACCAAGACUAUGACACAUAACUGGUUUGAGAGGAUGAUCAGUCACACUGGAACUGAGACACGGUCCAGACUCCUACGGGAGGCAGCAGUGGGGAAUAUUGCACAAUGGACGAAAGUCUGAUGCAGCAACGCCGCGUGGAGGAUGACACAUUUCGGUGCGUAAACUCCUUUUAUAUGAGAAGAUAAUGACGGUAUUAUAUGAAUAAGCACCGGCUAACUCCGUGCCAGCCGCCGCCGUAAAAC